rnacentral:rRNA from 1 species
AGAGUUUGAUCCUGGCUCAGGAUGAACGCUAAGGCCUAACACAUGCAAGUCGAGGGGCAGCGCGUGUAGCAAUACAUGGUGGCGAGUGGCGCACGGGUGCGUAACACGUAUGUAACCUACCUCUAACAGUGGCAUAACAAUGAGAAAUUAUUGCUAAUUCCGCAUGUGGUUAAUUUGAGGCAUCUUAGAUUAACUAAAGAUUUAUCGGUUAGAGCUGGGCAUGCGUCCCAUUAGCUAGUUGGUGAGGUAACGGCUCACCAAGGCAUCGAUGGGUAGGGGCUCUGAGAGGAUUGUCCCCCACACUGGUACUGAGACACGGACCAGACUCCUACGGGAGGCAGCAGUAAGGAAUAUUGGGCAAUGGACGCAAGUCUGACCCAGCCAUGCCGCGUGAAGGAAGACGGCCCUAUGGGUUGUAAACUUCUUUUCUCAGGGGGCAAACUCUGGAACGUGUUCCGGACUGAAAGUACCCGAGGAAUAAGCAUCGGCUAACUCCGUGCCAGCAGCCGCGGUAAUACGGAGGAUGCGAGCGUUAUCCGGAUUCAUUGGGUUUAAAGGGUGCGCAGGCGGAUAUAUAAGUCGGAGGUGAAAUUCUGAUGCUCAACAUCAGCCGUGCCUUCGAUACUGUAUAUCUAGAGUCAAGUUGGAGUAGGCGGAAUGUGUUGUGUAGCGGUGAAAUGCUUAGAUAUAACACAGAACACCGAUCGCGAAGGCAGCUUACUAAACUUUGACUGACGCUCAUGCACGAAAGCGUGGGGAUCAAACAGGAUUAGAUACCCUGGUAGUCCACGCUGUAAACGAUGAUUACUCGCUGUUGGCGAUACACAGUCAGUGGCUAAGCGAAAGUGAUAAGUAAUCCACCUGGGGAGUACGACGGCACGUUGAAACUCAAAGGAAUUGACGGGGGCCCGCACAAGCGGAGGAGCAUGUGGUUUAUUCGAUGAUACGCGAGGA